rfam:TPA: Bos taurus chromosome 9, whole genome shotgun sequence.
GGCUCUGUGGCUUAGUUGGAUAAAGUGCCUGUCUCAUAAAUGGAAGAUCCUGGGUUGGAAUCCCAGUGGGGCCU